UACGUAGGACCCAAGCGUUAUCCGGAAUUACUGGGCGUAAAGAGCUCGUAGGUGGUUUGUCGCGUUGUCCGUGAAAACUCACAACUCAAUUGUGGGCGUGCGGGCGAUACGGGCAGACUGGAGUACUGCAGGGGAGACUGGAAUUCCUGGUGUAGCGGUGAAAUGCGUAGAUAUCUGGAGGAACACCGGUGGCGAAGGCGGCAUCCUGGACCGAGAUUGACGCUGAGGCGCGAAAGCCAGGGGAGCAAACGGG
rnacentral:rRNA from 1 species